GUGUGUGUGUGUGUGUGUGUGUGUGUGUUUAACACCAUCUUUGGAGUUGGUCUGAAAAUGGAUCUCUUGAAUAUUUAACCUUGCCCUGAGGCUGUGGUAUUAAUCCACAGACUCUUACAGAGAAUCUGAGUACAGCACUGAUCUGGCAGGCUGAUAUGUGCUUUAUUGUGACAUUUAAUGGGAAUAUGAUGGAUAAGAUGUAAAAACAAAGCAGGAUGACAAGUUGCACAUAAAAUUUCUGUGCAGCUUUUUGUGUGCUUUUCAGUUCAUACAUAUGCUGACAAACAGAGAAAGGGGUCUGGUAUUGGAUAAAUAGCCACAGGCACCCAAAAAGUUAUUAAAAUGAUUAAGAGGCUUACAGCCAUAAAAUGAUUAUGUGCAUGUGAACAAUUUUAAAAUGACUGCUCCAAAUGGUCCUCCAUUUUAAAAGGGAUUGCGAUCCAAAACAUGACUACACAUUAUAAUACUUUUGGUAAUUGCAGAUCUUUUCUGAACUCUUAAUGACAAAGUGUCCUGUUGUGAUCAUUUACAAAGUCCAGAAUGUUCUGAACACACUUGACUUUUGACUGGUGCCUUUUUCAUUUGUCUUAAUCAGUGUGUAGGGGUACAAAGUUCAAAAUGAGUUUUUUUUUUCUAUUAUGAAAAGGAAAUACAAAAAAAGAACCAUUUAAACAUUCAUAAACUCACAUACCAUCUAUUGAAAUGUCAGCCACAUCUGAUUUCCUUCAUGUUGAAAGAUGAGAGCGCAGUUAUGUCUGUCAUGUCCCGCCACUGUACUCAACAGCUAUUUUUCAUAUCAGAGAACAUUAACCUCUUGCUGCUUCCCCUUUUGCACAGUCAAACUAAAUUUUUAUUUGAGCUUGGAAAAUAAACUUUAACACUGUUAACAGUAGGGAUGGGACUCCAGAACCGGUUCUUGUAGAAAACUGGUGUCUGGUAGUCUAGUUUGUUUGAAUUGUUAGUCUGCCUGCGCAUCGAUCCAGCUUCUUGCGUUUGCGCUGCAGUCAGCUAAUUUCAGUUGACGUGUCAGAAGAGGGAAAUGGCGACGGAGUCUGUGGCAUGGAUAUGGACGUUUAUUUUUAUUGCAUAAAAGGAUGAGAUAAAUGGUAAAGUGCAAAUUGCAUCCAGAAAACAAACGACUGCAUUAUUCUGGUAACACAGCUUCGGUUCUUUGCAAGCAUCUGUACAGGCAGCAUGCUAACGCUAAGCUAGCCAAGAACCCUUUUUCCUUUACAUUACUUCAUUACUCGAAAUGAAGUAAAUGUACUGCAUUACUUUUAAGAAAGGUGUUCUGUGUAAUAUCUGUAAUAAUGAUGUUUUAAAGUAACAACUCCAACAGUGAUCAAAACAAAGAGGGGAAAUACCACAACAAACAUGCCAUCAUGAUCUUGGUUCGAGGGGUGGCUCAGUCUAUGAAAUCAACCAUUCAAUACCAAUACCCUUAAACAUACUAUGCUUUGUCUAAAUGAGACUGUAAUUUAUAGAAUGAACAACAAGUUAUGCUAAAGUCAGUAUUUUAGCAGUCAGUAUAAAACUAUAAAUUGAGGUCAUAUGGUAGUUUGUGUAUUGAUAAUUUUCUAUACACAAUCUUUUUGCUGUUAUACUUUGCAGACUCUAAGAAGAAUGCAGCAUCAGGGCAUAAUUUUUCAUGUCUGGAGGCUACACCCAUCUUCUAUACAAAGUAUAUGGUUUGCUUUGUAUCAGGUUGCGUUAUUUUAAAAAGCAACUUAAAAAGACAGGGUCUUUGAUUUGGUUACUUUCCUUUGGCUGUGUAGUACAUCAGCCUCGGCUUUUUCUGUUACAGAGCUGCUUUGCCAAUAGUAGACUUCAUGAAAUAAAUCCUUUGAUUUUACACUACCUGAAUUUUAAGAUGUGCUAAUUAUUGUUUACAUCAGUGAAGUGUUCUUGGGCCUGUGGCCUUGAAUGAUUGUUGGAACCUCUCCUAAUCCCAGGAUCUUCAUAAAUUGAAGUCACCUUGGCUUUGCGUAACAUUGAUUUUUCCCUUCUUUUCCCUUGUAUUUUUUUUCUGCAUCCUUUGAUUCCCCCCCCCCCCAUUUAAUUUUUCUGUUUUGCCUGCUCCUGAAAAUAGCAGGUGUGGAACACUAGCAAGCCACACUAUGACGAACGAUAGAUAACGCAGUCAUGGCAGUGAACAACAAGUCAACAUGAUCUCUCUUAGGCAGGUGAUUCUAGGUGAGGAAACCAAAAAGCAACAAUAAUUUUUAUGUCUUGACUGUAUUUGCUUCUCUUACACAUGCGAGUAACUUCCCUUAUUUACUCGCAUGUGUAUUGAUUUGCACGGCAGUGAUCCAAGUAAAAGGCAUUGUUGCUGUAUUUGAUAGAAAUAUUUUAUUUAUUUUUUUGUCAUAAUUUAAUAAACAAUAAUGUCCAUUAUCUUUGAGUAAAUAAACCCAGUUAACUAGGAAAGGUAUUUUUUGUUACAACACUAAAAAGGAUGUUGUUGGGGUGUUUGUAGGAGGGAGGAUGAGUUUGAAGGACAGACAGUUGUGGAAGAGAGGGGAAUUGACUGCACAAAGAGUAUUUUGUGGUUGUUUAACAGCUGUUUGAUGAAUUGCUACAAAUAUGUAGCAAUAUAUAUAAAUACAUUGGGAGCUAAAAUUUUGGCACUCAAUGGCAUAGCAAAGCAGAUCUAUUGUCCAUAAAAAGAAACGGCAAAAGAUCCUCAGCUUUUAGAGUCUGAAAGUGGCCAAUAAAGGACAAGAAAGAUGUGUUGUUGUUUUUUUUUAAAAAAAAAGGCAGAAUUCUAAUACCUUGUACUCAACACAGACUAGAAAGAGUCUGUUUUUAUUUUCUCUAAAGGUCUACAGAAGAUUGUGCUAUAAUAAACUUCAGACAUGGGGAAAAAAAAUGCAUGAAAUGUAGAGCCUACAAAUGGAAACAUGGAGCCAAAUCUUAUUGCAACUGUUGAAUUUCUCCGCAUGAGAAGCCCACACAUCGCUGCAGCGUAGGACUGACUUGUCUCACUCUUUUCUACAUGACUGUUGUCUAUGAAGAAAAAGCAAAGCUCGGGACUGGAAAGUGUGGGGCGCCCAUCUGUGUUCUUCACUGAGCAAACGAGGACAGACACAAAGGAGGGAUUGAAGGCCUCAGAUGGAAACAGUGAGAGAGAGUAACAACAAGAUGCUUGAUACAAUGUUGUGGCCCUUAAAGUCUGGCUAGCUGUGGGAGACAGUAACACUUCUGUCAGAAUAAGGAGGAGGGCAAAGUUGCCUGGGGCAGGCCACCAAAACAUUUGCAAUGUAGCCUGGAGAGAGAAAUCAUCUGACGCGUACUAGGGUGGUCAGAAAUGGGGAGUGGACAGAGAGAGGACUGGUGACACUGGACAGGACAAUAGGAGUAAGAUGCUUACAGCUGGCAUGGUGGGAAGCAAAUCAGGAACCCGUAGGAGAUACCAGUAAGAGUUGAACCACCUAGUCAUUAAACAAAGAAGUGUUUUGCUGUCGAAGGAUGGGUGCCUGCUGGAGUCGUGACCCCACACGGGAGAUCGGUCAAGAGCUGGUUCCUAUCAAACGUCACGCCGUCUGGCCAAGGGCAGCCAAGGUAGUCACUAACCUCGAUGACCAUGAAUUCUCCACGUGGGAUCUCACGUGUCACACAAGGAACAUGAAGUGCAUUAUAGCUCAUUAACGUCUUUGUUUCUGGAAAACAACAGUUCCCUUCGGUACAGUAUAUUGCCCUGCUGGCACAUAAUGAAACACGUUGAGUGUGGUGGUGGUUGUCAGUUUUAUGGGAUUGUAAUGUUAUACAAGAGGCAUAAAAGAAGGCACAGACGCACUGAACAAGUUGUGGGUGUGUCUACUGGCAAGCUUUAAUGUGGCUUCAAACUGACAAACAGCUGAAGAUGCACACAAUGCUGCAUGAGUGUAGUCAUAACGCAAAAGUUGUUGCUGUGUCUGGCGUGACAGUGUUUUACUGUAUGCACACAAACAGACAGAUCGUCAGCUGAAUGUUAACAUAAGAUUAAUUCAGCUUAAGGUGUGUGAGAGCUUUAGUGGGAUACUCAGCACUUUCCUUACUCUCAGUCAGCUGGUAGAUCAUAAAGAGGCCUUGGCACAAGGACAAGGCUGAGGAAACAAGGAUGACAUGGGAGGGUGAUUUGUCCUAGAGAUCAUUGACUGUAUCUUUAUUAAUCUCCCAUUGUCUUUCACAUACCUAAAUCAAGACAGAACCUGUCACCAGUUUGGCAAAAAACCAAGGAGGGUGUUGGCUAAAUCUGCUUUUCAAUGGGAAAGAAAUGCCUUCAGUUAAAAAUGGAGUUGUGCUUUACAGCGUAGCAGC